UCCGUGUUUCAUUUUCAAGAGGCUGUUCAGUCAAUUAUAUGAGAUAUUCAACUCAUUAUUAUAAAACAGGCUUUGUGUGAGGUGGUUUUGCCCAACUGUAGGCUAAUGUUAAGUAUUCCGAACACGUUUACGGUAGGCUAGGCUAAGCUAUGACGUUUGGUAGGUGUAUUCAAUGCAUUUUCGACUUACAUUUUUAGUUUACAAUGGGUUUAUAGGAAUGUGUAUUAGUCCAUUCUCAUACUGCUAUAAAGAAAUACCUGAGACUGGAUAAUUUAUAAACAAAAGAGGUUUAAUUGACUCACAGUUCCACAGGCUCUCCAGGAAGCACGGCUCAGGAGGCCUCAGGAAACUUUCAAUCAUGUGCGGGCGAAGGGGAAGCAGGCACAUGGCUGGAGCAGGAGGAAGAGAGUGAAGCGGGAGGUGCCACACACUUUUCAACAACCAGAACUCACUGUCACAAGAACAGCAAGGGGAAGAUCCACCCCCAUGAUCCAAUAGCCUCCCACCAGGCCCCUCUUCCAACAGUGGGGAUUGCAAUAAGAUUUUGGCAGAGAGACAGACCCAAACCAUACCAGAUGUAACUGUAUCAUAAGUUGAGGGACAUUGGUAUAUAGCUUAUAUAAUAGAAAAAGAGAAUUUCUCUUCAGUUUUAGGAAUCUUUUUUUUCCCCAGGAGCCUAUUUUUAAUUGUUCUUACUACUCUGGGUAUAGUAUGUUACAGUCUUAGAGUAUUUAUGCUUUAUCUUCAAAUGUCAGCUUACACUGAUCAAUUUAGGGCAGAAGCCUGUUAUAGUCCUUUCUUGGAACCACACCACAUAGAAGAAAUAAUUUUUUUUUAACUUUUUUUUGUUUUAUGCUUUUCUGAUACUUUUUCCUACGGACUUCCUGGAGGCAACAAAGCUAAACAAGCUCUUCAAAGUUUAAUCGACCUCUUCGGAUCUAUGACUGUAUGGGUAGGCCCUAAUGGACUUAAAUAUUAUCAAAAGUUGCUGAGCACAGGCUUUGUAAGUGCACAUUUCGUUAAUAUUGCCUCCACUUCUCCAUUUAUGAUCAUGGGGAACACACGCAGCACAGACAGAAGGUAUCUCCCCACUCCAUUUUUUUCAUUGAUUUGUAUCUUCUUUUGCCAUGAAACUUUUCACUAUCACCAAUAACAAAGAGCCAGACAGAGAUGAAUUUACAUUCAUUACCUUACCUUAUUUUUAACCUUAGGCAACCAUAAUCGUGAGCAAGUGAAGGGUCAAAGCUAUUAGUAUUCCUAAAUGAAUAGUAGAUUUAUUUUGAAAGUGAUCAUUAAGAGGAAAUGUGCUUAUUCCUUAGUGCUUUAAUUUGGCAAACACAUUUGAGUUUCUCUUGUGCCCCAGGUACCGUGCUAGGCUCUGGGUGUCAAAGGAUAAGGACAAACACAGCUGUUGCCUCUCAAGAUCUAGCAUAAGGCAACAAUUAGUAAACUGGGUCUAAUUUGUGAAAUAGCAGUAUGUGAAUUCUGUUGAAAAAUACUGAACUCAUGCCCAAAAGACUCGGUUUAUCAUCCCAGCGUUGACAUUUACUAGUUAUGUGACCUUGAACAAGUCACUGUGUCUCCCUCACCUCUAGGUUUUUCUCCCAAAAAGUGUGACAUUUGACCACAACUAGAUGAUUCUUUUCUGUUCCAAAGCUGUAUGAUUCCCUGGUCAUAGUCAAGCCCAUCGAUGGGGAAAACUAGAAUAGAACUUAUUGGAUGGGUACCACGCAGGACUCACAUCCAGUGAGUAGGAAGGACUUUUUCAGCCUGGGGGAAAAUAAGACAAAGUGAUGGUUAAAGGUGAUGGCUCCAGAGUCACAGGUGUGGGUUUGAACCCUGGGUUUCUCAUCUACUAGCUGUCUGGUCUUGGAUAAGUUUCUUAAUCUUUAAAUCUUAGUAGUGCUGGUAAUAUGAAGGUUUGGGUGAGAUUUAAGUAAGAUUCUGCACUAAAAGCAAUUUUCACCAUACCUUGCACGUAGCGAAGGCCUACAUUUCCAUAUAUAUAUUAUUCCUAUUUGUAUUACAUUACCAUGGCUGUCACAACAAAGUACCCCAGACUUGGUGGCUUAAACAAUAGAAAUUGAUUAUCUCACGGUUCUGUGGGCCAGAAGUCCAAGAUCCAGGUGGUGGCAGGGCUGGCUUCUUCUGACAUCUGUGAGGGAGGCUCUGCUCCAGGCCUCUCCCUGGCUGUAGACGCCUAUCUUCUCCCUGAGUCUCUCCACAUCGUCUUUACUCUAUGCUUGUGUCUAUGUGCAACUUUCCCCUUUCGCUAAGGACAGCAACCAUAGUGACCUUGAUUACCUCUCUAAAGACCCUGUCCCCCAAAUAUAAUCAUAUUAUGUGAUGCUGGGAGUUUCAAAUUUCAUCACAUAAAUUUGGAGGAGACACAAUUCAAUCCAUACUGCUGUUGAUAUAGGUAAUAAUAACAACUAUUAUUAGUAUCAUGUUUAGAGCAGAGGUCAUCCACUCCAGAAAACUGCAUGUCUUUGAAAUGGGAAAUUCUUUCCUAGUGCCUCGAACGUAAUAAAUGACUUGAAGUGGGUAAGAAGAGGCUACAAGAAUGAAUGAGUGAGUGAGUGAACGUAAUAAAUGACUUGAAGUGGGUAAGAGGCUACAAGAAUGAAUGAGUGAGUGAGUGAGUGAAUGUAAUAAAUGACUUGAAGUGGGUAAGAGGCUACAAGAAUGAAUGAGUGAGUGAGUGAGUGAAUGUAAUAAAUGACUUGAAGUGGGUAAGAGGCUACAAGAAUGAAUGAGUGAGUGAGUGAGUGAAUGUAAUAAAUGACUUGAAGUGGGUAAGAGGCUACAAGAAUGAAUGAGUGAGUGAGUGAGUGAAUGUAAUAAAUGACUUGAAGUGGGUAAGAGGCUACAAGAGUGAAUGAGUGAAUGAGUGAGUGAAUGGUGGGCAGGAUAUGAGGAGCCUUAAGGAUUUACCUCCAGCAGGGAUGGGGCAAGUGACCAAUGGAGCUCCAAGCAUCUGCGGGAGGUAAACAGCAGAUGUAUAAAAGGAGCCUUCUCGAGAGCCUGCAGGUCUAAGACCACAGCGAUAGGAGGACAGGGCAAGAACCUCUGUUCCAGAAGGAUUGGGACCAGGAAGAAAGCUGCAGAGAGGCAGGCUCGUGCUCACCUGCAGUCAUGCCCAUCUUGCCCACCUGCUGUCUGCGACUAGGCCAACUCCUAAACCUCUCUGAAGCUUAAGACCUGCCACAGUGGGCUGUGCCAGAGUUGGAGUGGAGACUCACUGAGAUCAUCUAGAAGAGGCACCUGCCUCAAAGCCUUCAGGUAAUACCCACACAUAAACCUUAGGGUUUUUCCUACCUGCAAUUCUGUGUUCUGGCCCC
rnacentral:lncRNA from 1 species